rnacentral:rRNA from 1 species
ACGGAGGAAAAGAAACCAACAGGGAUUGCCUUAGUAACGGCGAGUGAAGCGGCAAAAGCUCAAAUUUGAAAGCUAGCACCUUCGGUGUUCGCGUUGUAAUUUGAAGAUAGUUUCCUUGAGUAGUCCUUUAUCUAUGUUCCUUGGAACAGGACGUCAUAGAGGGUGAGAACCCCGUAUGAUUUUGGAUACUACUCUUUGUGGGAUUCUAUCGAAGAGUCGAGUUGUUUGGGAAUGCAGCUCUAAGUGGGUGGUAAAUUCCAUCUAAAGCUAAAUAUUGGCGAGAGACCGAUAGCGAACAAGUACAGUGAUGGAAAGAUGAAAAGAACUCUGAAGAGAGAGUGAAAAAGUACGUGAAAUUGCUGAAAGGGAAGGGCUUGAGGUCAGACUUGGUGUUUAAUGAUUAUCAGUUCUUCUUGGACUGUGCACUCGUUUUUCACCGGGCCAAUAUCAGUUUUAGCGGUAGAGUACCCCUUGAAAUGUGGCUUCCUUCGGGGAGUGUUAUAGUCUUGGGGAGAUCUACUUGCUGGGACUGAGGACUGCGCUUCGGCAAGGAUAUUGGCGUAAUGACCUUAAGCCGCCCGUCU